AACGCACAUUGCGCCCGCCAGUAUUCUGGCGGGCAUGCCUGUUCGAGCGUCAUUUCAACCCUCAAGACCCCUUCGGGGGACUUGGUGUUGGGGACCGGCACAGGGGCCUGCCUGCUUGUCUUGCAGCGCCCUCGCCGCCCCCGAAAUGAAUUGGCGGCCUCGUCGCGGCCUCCCCUGCGUAGUAGCACAACCUCGCAACGGGAACGUGACGGCGGCCACUGCCGUAAAACAACCCCAAUUUUAUUAGAGUUGACCUCGAAUCAGGUAGGAAUACCCGCUGAACUUAA
rnacentral:misc_RNA from 4 species